AAAGUCCCGCAAGGGAUGAGUAGAGUGGCAAACGGGUGAGUAACACGUGGGUGACCUGCCUUCGAGUGGGGGAUAACGUCCCGAAAGGGACGCUAAUACCGCAUGACAUCCUGCCUUUGAAGAGGUGGAGAUCAAAGCUGGGGAUCGCAAGACCUAGCGCUCAAAGAGGGGCCCGCGCCUGAUUAGCUAGUUGGCGAGGUAACGGCUCACCAAGGCAACGAUCAGUAUCCGGCCUGAGAGGGCGGACGGACACACUGGGACUGAGACACGGCCCAGACUCCUACGGGAGGCAGCAGUGGGGAAUUGUUCGCAAUGGGCGCAAGCCUGACGACGCAACGCCGCGUGGAGGAUGAAGACCUUCGGGUCGUAAACUCCUUUCGAUCGAGACGAACGGCCUCCGGGUGAACAAUCCGGAGGAGUGACGGUACCGAGAGAAGAAGCCCCGGCUAACUCCGUGCCAGCAGCCGCGGUAAUACGGGGGGGGCAAGCGUUGUUCGGAAUUACUGGGCGUAAAGGGCUCGUAGGCGGCCAACUAAGUCAGACGUGAAAUCCCUCGGCUUAACCGGGGAACUGCAUCUGAUACUGGAUGGCUUGAGUUCGGGAGAGGGAUGUGGAAUUCCAGGUGUAGCGGUGAAAUGCGUAGAUAUCUGGAGGAACACCGGUGGCGAAGGCGGCAUCCUGGACCGACACUGACGCUGAGGAGCGAAAGCCAGGGGAGCAAACGGGAUUAGAUACCCCGGUAGUCCUGGCCCUAAACGAUGAAUGCUUGGUGUGGCGGGUAUCGAUCCCUGCCGUGCCGAAGCUAACGCAUUAAGCAUUCCGCCUGGGGAGUACGGUCGCAAGGCUGAAACUC
rnacentral:rRNA from 1 species